GAUGAACGCUGGCGGCGUGCCUAAUACAUGCAAGUCGAGCGAACGGACGAGAAGCUUGCUUUUCUGAUGUUAGCGGCGGACGGGUGUGUAACACGUGUAUAACCUACCUAUAUUUCUGGGAUAACUUCGGGAAACCGGUUCUAAUACCGGAUAAUAUUUUGAACCGCAUGGUUCAAAAGUGAAAGACGGUCUUUCUGUCUCUUAUAGAUGGUUCCGCGCUGCAUUAGCUAGUUGGUAAGGUAACGGCUUACCAAGGCAACGAUGCAUAGCCGACGUGAGAGGGUGAUCGGCCAAACUGGAACUGAGACACGGAAAAGACUCCUACGGGAGGCAGCAGUAGGGAAUAUUCGGCAAGGGGCGAAAGCAUGACGGAGCAAGGCCGCGUGAGAGAUGAAGGUCGUCGGAUCGUAAAACUCUGUUAGUAGGGAAGAAAAGAAGUGUAAGAAAAUGUGGAGAGCAUGACGGUAACUAAACAGAAAGCAACGGCUAACUACGUG
rnacentral:rRNA from 1 species